rnacentral:rRNA from 1 species
GUUGCCAUCAUUUGGUUGGGCACUCUAGUGAGACUGCCGGUGACAAACCGGAGGAAGUGGGGAUGACGUCAAGUCCUCAUGGCCCUUAUGGGUAGGGCUUCACACGUCAUACAAUGGUCGGUACAGAGGGUUGCCAAGCCGCGAGGUGGAGCCAAUCCCUUAAAGCCGAAUCGUAGUCCGGAUCGUAGUCUGCAACUCGACUACGUGAAGUCGGAAUCGCUAGUAAUCGCAGAUCAGCAUGCUGCGGUGAAUACGUUCCCGGGCCUU